ACAAGGUCUGGAAGGAAAACAAAUCUGGCCACCUGAGUUUCUUGGGUGACCACUGCAAAUGAGAUGAAGUCCAUAGUGUCAGUCCUGCUGGCCUACCUUGUCCUGGGGUCAAAGAGCUGUGAGUGUGAGGAAAGGAGGAUCAAGGCCAGGUGCCAACUCUCCCUCCCUCCCACAUGUUGGGGUGGCCUGGUGGAGCAUUUCACCUUCCUUGGACUCUUAGCAGAGAGCCUGUGCAGCAGGGUUUCUGAGGGUCUCACUAAAUUGCUGAGACUGGCCUCAAACUUGUGAUCCUCCUGCUUCAGCCUCCCAAGUCACUGGGAUAACAAAUUGUACCACUGUGCCCAGUGAAGCUCUGUUUUAUAAGCAUCCUGGAACACUUGAGAGGAAAUAAUUUGAUCACAAUAUGAGGACAUGGUCACUGCUAAAUGACAAUGGAGUUCCGGGGAAGUCAGUGCGACAGUGUGUUUGAAGGACUGCCCAUGACUAAAAUCCAAGCAGGAAGCAAGAGGAAGUUGAGCAAAGGGUUUGCUGGCUCACCUCAGCAGCCCUCCUCCCAGUUCUCCAGCCUCAACCUCUUGAAUCUCUGACCUGGAUAAUGUACCUGGCUUUGGACAGUUCUCCUGGUCUCUAGGCUCACUCAAUUCUGCCUAUUUUCCACAUGGCCACUAGAACGUCUUCAUACUUACCUGAGGGUGUCCCCCUCAGUUCUCGGCCUUCACUGAUUGUCUUUUGCCUGUGAAACAGUGUCCAGACUGGGUGAAGAAACUGAGGACCCACCACCAUCUGCUCACAGACUACAACCCAAAGUCCAGCCUUUGAGAAUAUUAUUGUUCCUCUGUCCCAUCCCAUAAACACCUCCUGUGUUCAGUCCCCCCUCAGAGUGCGCUUCCUCUGUCACACAGCUCUGGCCUUCUCAGACUGGCCUGUUCUAGGAUUAUUUAUGGGUGUGCUACAGCUCUUCCAGCAGUGGGAAGUCUGCUGCGUCUUGUUAAUUUUUAAUUUCCCCAUGGCAACUACUUCAGAGCUGCAUGUGUGACAUGUACUUGCCAGACACUCAAUUAAGCUUCAGUAAACAUUGGGAUGAAAAUGUGGAGGAGUUAAUGCAUGCAUUCGAUUAUUUUUUAUUUAAUUUCAAUACAGGAUCUUUCUAGGUUUUCCUGGCUGGCCCUGAACUCACCAUCCUCCUGACUCAGUCUUGAGUAGUUGGGAUUACAGAUGUGACACUGUCCCUAACUUUAAUGACUUAAAAAAAAUAAAACAAAAAACAAUAUCAUAGCUUUAUUCAAAACCACAGUUGCACAAAAGUAGUAACUUCAAAGUUUGAAAGGAGAGAUUCUCAAAGAACUUAACCACUAUAUACAUACUGCCAUACAAAUAGCAUUAAAAUAGGAUCUAAAACUUAUAUAAAAAUAGGAACCCCACUUAUUUAUUUGCAUGAAAAUACUAUCCACAAAACUAAAUAGGUUCUUAAAAGUUAUCUGGAGACUCACGAAGUGUUGUUCUCAAACCAAAGAACUCUAAUUUUGAUUGUACAAUAAGAUGAUUGAUAAGAAAGUCAAUGUGUAGAUUUCAUUUUAAAGAUAAGUAUUUUAUAAUCUGGCAUACUGUGUAAUGAGGAUUCUUAGAGACAAAAACAGGGCAUUUUGAUUGUUAAAAUUAGAAGAAAAAUGUUAAUCUUUUAUAGUUUCUGAUCUCCCUACUAAAUUUCUCCCAAAUGUUUUGUUUCAGUCAGUUUUGCAACCACUUUAGUUUUUCCACAAAUAACUUCAGUUUUUUUGCUUUAAAACACCAAGUCACAAAUUUUAAAGUAAAAAUUAGCAGCAGCAGUACUCUACUCAGUAAUUUAAAUGUGUCCCAGUGGAGAAGCAUAACUGCAAUCAAUUUGCUCACACUAACUUUAAAAAACAUUACAAAUACUCAAAACAAAGAAAAAAUUGUAGCCAGUUAUAAAAGCAAAUGCCUUGAACAUGGACCCUCCAGCGUGCUUGUCUAUUCAUCAUAUUUUACUUAGCAGCCAUGUAAGUGAGUGCACACUCACACUUAUCCCAAAUAUUCUCCUACUUUAAUGGACAUUAACUUGAAAAUAAAUCUUAAUAUUAAGUCCCAAAUAUUCUCCCAGUUGCCUACUAUAUUCUAAUUAAAUGCUAUAUCUGAUAAAAAAUUAUAGGAAGAAUAACUAAAGGUUCUACUCAGAAAAAUCAUAAAACUGAGCAGGGUUGGUAUCCAGAUCAUUUGAGAGGCCAACUUAAAAAUUUGACUGGAAUAUCUCAUUAAUUAUCAACAGGCAAUCAUUCUGACUUUUGAGGAACGUUGAUACUGCUUCCCAAAGCUUCCCCUGCUUCUUUUCUUUUUACUAAUAUGGUCUCACAUGUUGGCAGCCAAGAAGGAUUUGCAGUAAGCACAGCUUGCUACAUAAAACUGUAUCAAUAACAAUAUUCAGACCUCAGCCAAUUCUCAGAUUCUUCCACUUUGUUUAAAACUCAGAUGGGUCUGAAAAGGUGAUUGAGGUAUAAGGCUAAAGGUUUUCUGAAUAUCCACAAGUUUUUUCUGGGCUAGAGAGAGGGGAGUGAAACAAGAAGGGAAGGUAAUCAUAAAAAAAUGGCUGAGAGGAGAAAGAACAUACACCUAAAGCAAGAUAAACGACUGUUGGUGUGUCAUGGUCUGCAGCCUGAAGAAAGGACUUGCCUGCAUGUCUCUGCACUUCACAUAAGCAGUUUUUCUUCAAAAAUAAAAUCUUAUCAGUCACCACAA